rnacentral:rRNA from 1 species
AAUAUUGGUCAAUGGAUGUAACUCUGAACCAGCCAAGCCGCGUGAAGGAUGACGGCUCUACGGUCUAUAUACUUCUUUUUAAAGGGAAUAAAGUGAGCCACGUGUGGCAUUUUGCAUUUACCUUACGAUUAAGGAUCUGCUAACUCCGUGCCAGCAGCCGCGGUAAUACGGAGGAUUCGAGCGUUAUCCGGAUUUAUUGGGUUUAAAGGGUGCGCAGGCGGAAUAUUAAGUCGGAGGUGAAAGUUUGCAGCUUAACUGUAAAAUUGCCGUUGAUACUGGUAUUCUUGAGUGUAGAAGAAGUAGGCGGAAUUUGUAGUGUAGCGGUGAAAUGCAUAGAUAUUACAAGGAACUCCGAUUGCGAAGGCAGCUUACUAAAAUACAACUGACGCUUAGGCACGAAGGCGUGGGGAGCAAACA